rnacentral:rRNA from 1 species
AGAUUGAACGCUGGCGGCAUGCCUUACACAUGCAAGUCGAACGGCAGCACGGGAGCAAUCCUGGUGGCGAGUGGCGAACGGGUGAGUAAUACAUCGGAACGUGCCCAGUAGUGGGGGGAUGGCCCGGCGAAAGCCGGAUUAAUACCGCAUACGACCUACGGGUGAAAGCGGGGGAUCGCAAGACCUCGCGCUAUCGGAGCGGCCGAUGUCAGAUUAGCUUGUUGGCGGGUAAAAGCCCACCAAGGCGACGAUCUGUAGCUGGUCUGAGAGGACGACCAGCCACACUGGGACUGAGACACGGCCCAGACUCCUACGGGAGGCAGCAGGUGGGAAUUUUGGACAAGUGGGCGCAAGCCUGAUCCAGCCAUGCCGCGUGCGGAAGAAGGCCGUUCGGUGUAACCGUCUUUGUACGAGGAAGAAAGCUCCAGACUAAUAC